CUUUCCGCGAGACUCCAAAAAACACGACUUUUCACUUUUCUUUGAAGCUUAAACGAUGCAUAGACGAAGUUUCUCCACGGUUUAACGAUUGGUUCGCUUGGCGCUGUUUAACGAAUUGGCAGUUGACUGCAAGCAGCCAGCUAAUCUGAAUCUACUAUCGUAACAAUCUGUCAGACUGCUGAAAUCUGAAUCGUCUGGCACUCCGUGUUUCAUAUCGACAUCACAUCGAUAACUUUGAAUUCAAAGCCCUGGAACUCAAGUCGAAAAACAGGUUUGACAAGCAAAACAGUUUAUUUCAGUGUGAACAAAUUUUUGUGGUUCCACUCAAAUUAACUUUGGAGCCGGUUUAUUGAAAAUGUUCGAAAUUGUUUUGGCUGAACAAAACACAACAUGAAUGAAAAAAAAUAUCUUUAUCCAUCUGUGGGAGAAUUUACCAAAAAUGUUAAAAAGUUGUAUAGUUGGACCAGAGGUGACGACUUGCAUGCCUAGGCGUGCGCGAGGAAACUAUAUAUAGCCGAAGAAUUAAAAAUUUUCUGUAGGCAACCGAUCUAAAUGAAUGAUAUACCAAUUUAGUAUGAACAACUUGGGACCUCAGCCUUGGAAAUGAGCCCCGGAAAAAUGGAGAAAUGUCUGUUUUCUUUUUAAAAAUAAAUUUUUUUAAAACGGUUUUGUUCAUUAAUGUGUUGCAAAAUUAUGACAUUUUUUUGUCCCUUAAUAUGUUGCAAAAUGAUGAAGAGUGGAAAAUUCGAAAUUGAAUUCAAUUCAAUUGUUCAAUUCAAUAUUAUGGGGCUUAAAAUAAUUGAAAUUGAAAAGUAAUUGAAUAAUUGAAAAGUAAUCUUACUAGGUUAACUGAACUUAAUCUUACAAAAUUAGAGACAAACAAUUCAAACUUAAUCUUUUUUACUCUCCUUCCACCGCUGUCCAAAGCUUUUACGACAGGAGGAGGAGGAGCGCCUCAUGUGAAAAAACAUAGUCUGUGCAACCGUUUACUCACCGAGGAUGAACACCGCCACCAGAGCUUCAUCUCCUCCAAGCUUCGCUAAGUAUCCAAGUCAAAAACGUUGAAUCUUAAAAAGGGGAACUGGAUUCCCCAAAA